UACGUAGGGGGCUAGCGUUGUCCGGAAUCAUUGGGCGUAAAGCGCGUGUAGGCGGCCUUGUAAGUCCGUUCUGAAAGCCCGGGGCUCAACCCCGGGAGGCGGAUGGAUACUGCAAGGCUCGAGUCCGGAAGAGGCGAGUGGAAUUCCCGGUGUAGCGGUGAAAUGCGCAGAUAUCGGGAGGAACACCAGUAGCGAAGGCGGCUCGCUGGGCCAUUCCUGACGCUGAGACGCGAAAGCUAGGGGAGCGAACAGG
rnacentral:rRNA from 1 species